rnacentral:lncRNA from 1 species
UAAAAAAAUACCAAUUUUGAAAAGUUCUUCAGAUUGAGCUAUUUUUCUGUCAUGCAUGUGGUUGUCAGUCUCAUUUCCGGCUGGCAGUUUGAAAACCAACCUGCCGAAGCAGCUAUCUUUGUCAUAAAUUUAACAUGACAGCUUCUCAGCAGGGCUUUCAAUUAGGAUCCUAAAAAAAAAAAAAAAUUAGAAAGAUUGAAAGUGUAAGUCCAAAUGCGAUGAGCAAAUGCUAUUUUAUGGGAGACCCGUAUAUACUUGUUUUUGUUAGACUCCAUGAUGAUCAGGAACCUGCAAUGCCAAUUGAAUAAAAAACUCUGUGUAAAACAAAACAAAACAGAAAUGUAAACAUAAACAAAAAUAAACUAGUUACAGUGAUAUAAAAAUGCCUCCACAUUCCCACUGGUAAUGCGGACGUGGUUUUGCCAUCACAGAAGAUUCGCGCACUGGGUGUCAUGAAGCACAAGCAGCCAGUUGGCAUUUCCUCCAGAGCUGAGGGAUGCGGAUGCAAGGAAGGGGUUUUGGUGUCAUCUGGUAGAAGAACAAAAAAAUCACAGAAGAGUGUGAAGACUGCAAAUAUUUAUUGAUGAACUGAGAGUCAGAUCCUUUUCAUCAAGCUAUGACAGAGAUGUCCAAGCUGCUGCACAGAUGAGGGCAAUCUCCCCCAUCGUGGCUGAGACAGGAGCUACAGAAGGUGAGAUGGCACUGAACAUGGGAAAUAAAUGAAGUGUUCUUGUCA